rnacentral:rRNA from 1 species
AGUUGUAAUUUGCAGAGGGCGCUUUGGCUUUGGCAGCGGUCCAAGUUCCUUGGAACAGGACGUCACAGAGGGUGAGAAUCCCGUACGUGGUCGCUAGCUAUUGCCGUGUAAAGCCCCUUCGACGAGUCGAGUUGUUUGGGAAUGCAGCUCUAAAUGGGAGGUAAAUUUCUUCUAAAGCUAAAUAUUGGCCAGAGACCGAUAGCGCACAAGUAGAGUGAUCGAAAGAUGAAAAGCACUUUGGAAAGAGAGUCAAACAGCACGUGAAAUUGUUGAAAGGGAAGCGCUUGCAGCCAGACUUGCUUGCAGUUGCUCAUCCGGGCUUUUGCCCGGUGCACUCUUCUGCAGGCAGGCCAGCAUCAGUUUGGGCGGUGGGAUAAAGGUCUCUGUCAUGUACCUCUCUUCGGGGAGGCCUUAUAGGGGAGGCGACAUACCACCAGCCUAGACUGAGGUCCGCGCAUCUGCUAGG